rnacentral:rRNA from 1 species
GCUUGCCUCAAAGAUUAAGCCAUGCAUGUGUAAGUAUAACCUGCCAGACAGGGAAACUGCGUACGGCUCAUUACACCAGCUAUAAUUUACUUGACCUUGACAACUUACUUGGAUAACUGUGGUAAUUCUAGAGCUAAUACAUGCACCAAAGCUCCAAUCUCCCCAGAGCGGAGCGCAUUUGUUCGCCACAAAACCAAGCGCCCUCUGGGCGUCCAGUGUUGACUCAGAGCAACUAAGCUGAUCGCACGGUCUUGUACCGGCGACGUGUCUUUCAAGUGUCUGCCUUAUCAACUUUCGAUGGUAGUGUACCUGACUACCAUGGUGAUGACGGGUAACGGAGGAUAAGGGUUCGACUCCGGAGAAGGGGCCUGAGAAAUGGCCACUACGUCUAAGGAUGGCAGCAGGCGCGCAAAUUACCCACUCUCAACAUGAGGAGGUAGUGACGAGAAAUAACGAGACCGGUCUCUUAUGAGGCCGGUCAUCGGAAUGGGUACAAUUUAAACCCUUUAACGAGUAUCUAUGAGAGGGCAAGUCUGGUGCCAGCAGCCGCGGUAAUUCCAGCUCUCAAAAUGCAUAGAAUUAUUGCUGCGGUUAAAAAGCUCGUAGUUGGAUCUGUGCUAGCCGUCCGGUGCACUCGCUGAGUGUUACUGGUUCGGUUGGCUUUUCUGCCGGUCUCUCCCCGGCGUUGGCCUUUACCGGUCGGCGUCGGUGGGCUGGCGAGUUUACUUUGAACAAAUCAGAGUGCUUCAAACAGGCGUUUCGCUUGAAUGUUCGUGCAUGGAAUAAUAGAAGAGGAUUUCGGUCCGAUUUUAUUGGUUUUGCUGACCGAGAUAAUGGUUAACAGAGACAAACGGGGCCAUUCGUACUGCUACGUGAGAGGUGAAAUUCUUGGACC